rnacentral:lncRNA from 1 species
AACAAACUGUUCACUAAAUCCCUAGAAUUGUUGUUCUAAAACGAGUGCUUCUCACGAAGAAUACUUUGUUGUUUUUAAGGUCUUCCUUUUUAUAGGUUUUAAAAAUAUAUAGGCUCUUUGAUCCACCCAAUAUUCUAAAAAUCACUAACAGUCCUUUUAUUUUCAUCCCUAACAUAACUAGCUAGCUAAAUUGAAAACCAUAUCAUAUCAUAUACUACCAAAAACAGAGUGGCUAAAAACCAAGAAAAAAAUUAGUAAACUCAUUCCCAAAGAUGAUUUACCCCAUAAUUCACUCCAUCAUGUAUUUUAUCAAGAAAUUAAGGUAUAUAUAUACCAAAGAAGUAGCCUUAUUUUUUUCCUUUCAUUUCCACGUUUAAAAGCAUAUGCAAACGUAAGUUGAAAAUAGUUAUCAUCUUCUUAAACGUGAUUUGUCUUGUGGGUGCAGAAACUCGCCAUGAGCAUGAACCUUACGCUGAACGGCUGAAGUGUGGAGCUUCCUUUGGGCAUGGGUGGAAUUGGAAAAUAGGUAAUGAAACCAGUGAGAGAUCCAUAUUUGCAUUUUGGUUUUUACUUGCUCUUGCUUUCUCUUCUUUUAUCAUCUAUUAAUAUAUUUUCCUUAUUGUUUAAAACUAGCACUAACUUGCUCGUCUAUCCAUUUUUAUUUUAUUUUUUGGUCAUGUCAUCUAGUUGUAAAAAAUUCACCCUUAAAAUAAAUAAGUGAAUAAUAUGAAGUUCAAACUCCGAUCCUUACAUACUAUAAUAUGGUGUUCAAUUGUAGAUAAAAAGAGAUGUUGUUUUUUACAAUAUAUAUUAAAAUAAUAUUUUAAUUAAAUUAUGAUGUUCCUAUUUUACUGAGACUUUACUAUUUUUGAGUUAAUAAUUUAAUUUUUAUGUUGUUCAUACUUAAUGAGAUUAAAUAUUUUUUUAAUUAAUAAUUUCAAGAAUAAAGUAAAAGGGGUAAAAUUAUAAAUAUAAAUGAAGGAUAAACUUGAAAAAGUAAGCUCAAAUUUUUAUUAUUUUUUUUUAUUUAGUAUAGAUAUAUAGAAGUAUUUGGUAGGUCACAACCCCAAAUAAAAAGUGUUUGCACAUGUAUAAAGUUGAACAUCAUUUAACUAUAGUAAGAAAUACAUUAUUUAAUUAUAAUUUUUUUUACAUUUUUUCAGUUUUUGAGCUAUGAUAGAAAGUAUUUGGAUCAAACGAAAUGAAAUUUGGCAAUAGUUUGGUUGGAGUAUCAACUCCCUUAUAAGCAACCAACUGUAUUUUUCUCUAUACUUACAAUUUUAUUCUUCAGGAAGAAGUCAUUGUCAUAGACUCAUUUAAAAAAAAUUGCAUUUCUUCUUAUGCAGGUACCGACUAGGGCGCAUCCUUGAGUAGUUUGCUGAGAAUUGAGUGCUCUGCUUUGUGAUCACACUCAAAUUGCAAGCAAAAUGACUCAAUAAAAUCUAUCAGCGAGAAUAGCUGCAACUAAUUAAUAAAACUACAUUUGUUACAACAUCGAAAUGGUGAUCAAUUGCAUAGGCAUGAACAAUCUUGUUUCCUAAGCUUCGACAUUAAUGCUAGAGUAUAAGCUUCACAACUGUUGUAAAUAUCAUGAUAGAGUACAACCAUAUAUUAGUUGUUGAGCUGUCCUCUUUUCACUAUGCCAGCUUUUAAAUAUCAUGGUAUAAAUUGUAACCCUACAAAUAUAUCUGAGAUAGAUGGAUUAGGGAUUAAUUGCAAGUAGAGUAUUGGUCAAAUAUAUUUGAUAAAAUUGUCUCGAAGGGUCUUUAUUAAUUGUUUGGGUGGG